AUUAGAAUUUAUUUAAUUUAAUAUUUUGUAUUUUAUUUAAAUUAUAGAAAUAACUUUCUUUUUAGUAUUUUUUAAAGAAUAAAUUUAUUUUAUUUAUAUGUUAUUUUUUACUGUAAAGGUUUAUUAUUUAAUUAUUUAGAAAGUAAAAUUAAGUUUUUGUACCUUUUGUAUCAGGGUUUAUUUAUAUUCUUUUAUUUAAUAAUAAAGAUCCCGAAUUUAAAAGAGAUAAUAAUAUUUGUUAUUUAAUGUAUCAAAAUUAUUGAUAAAAUAUUAAUAGGGGUUAUAUGCCAUUCAUAUUUACAUAUCUGGUUUCUUGUUAAUUGAAUUUAAUUCAGAAUUAAUAAAUCUUAAUAUUUAAAUAUAUUUAUAUUAAGUAUAUUAAUUUAAAAUUAAAGGGGAUAAGCUCUUUAAUUAUUUUAUAAUAGAAAAAUUUAUAUAAAAUUUUGUAGGAUUAGAAAUUUUCAUCAUUUAUUUUGUUGUAAUUAUAUUUUAUUUUUAUUUUAUUUUGUAUUUUAUUUAAAUUUAUACUAAGAAUUAUUAAUGACUUAUAUAUUAUUAAUAAUAAUGAUAAAAUUAGUAAAAUUUUUAAUUGAUGUAUAGUAAUUUGGCAAAUUAGUCCUUCACCUGUUUAACAAAAACAUGUCUUAAUGAUUUUAAUAUUAAGUCUGGCCUGCUCAAUGAUUAUUAAUUAAAUAGCCGCAGUAUUUUGACUGUGCGAAGGUAGCAUAAUCAUUUGUCUUUUAAUUGAAGGCUUGUAUGAAUGGUUUAAUGAAAGGAUAACUUUCUUUACAUUAAUAAUUGAAUUUAAUUUUUUAGUGAAAAAGCUUAAAUUUUUAAAUGGGACGAGAAGACCCUAUAGAAUUUUAUUUUUAUUUUUAAUAUUUAAAUUAUAAGGUUUUAUAUUUAUUAUUAUUUAUAAAAAUUUUGUUGGGGUGACAUUGAGAUUUUUUAAACUCUCAUAAAUCUAUUUUUAUUUAUAUGUAUAUAUAUGAUCCUAUUUUAUGGAUAUAUAGAUUAAAUUACCUUAGGGAUAACAGCGUAAUUUUUCUAGAGAGUUCUUAUCGAUGGAAGAGUUUGCGACCUCGAUGUUGGAUUAAAAUUAGAUUUAAGUGCAGAAGCUUAAUUUCUAGGUCUGUUCGACCUUUAUAUUUUUACAUGAUCUGAGUUCAGACCGGCGUGAGCCAGGUCGGUUUCUAUCUUUUUAUUUUUAAUAUUUAAAUUAGUACGAAAGGACCAUUUAGAUCAAAUAUUUUGUUGUAAUUAGAAUUCAUUU
rnacentral:rRNA from 1 species